UUAAGUCCUUCAUGUACUGUAUUUUAUUAUUUUUCAUUUAAAAAAAAAAAAAAAAAAGACCAAGCAGAGUCCAGGCUCGUGACAGACCAGUCCAAGCCUAGUUCCAGCACUACAUGUCUAGAGAACAUCACAGCAGCCCAAAGAAUCAUGGAAAUAUUAGAAGCACCUUAUUUUGAUGGUUAUGAAGCUUAUCCACAAGAUUUUCUCAAUUGGAUGAAUGGGAUGGAGCAAUUUUUUGAGCAAGCAAAUUUUGCAGAUAACAUAAAGGUUAGGUAUGCCAAGUCAAAGUUAAUAGGUAAAGCACAGAGGUUUUGGGAGAAUCUUGAACGUUUCUGCUAUAUGGAUUAUGAACCUGCCAUUACUGUGUGAGAAGAUAUGAAAGAAAAGCUUUGUGAUGAGUAUUUGUCACCAUACUAUCGAGCUAAGUAUCUACCCCAAUCUUAGUGUGGUACUUUUCAAGUUAAAGCAAAUGCGAUGACUCCUCAUCCUUAUCCCAUAUCAUGUCCUUGGCACACUUUUGAACAAUCUACCAAGAAAUUAUCUACCAGGAAAGUAACGGAAUUAACUAUAAAGCUCAUGAAAGAGAUUCAAGACAGGAUUGCUCAGAUGAAGCAAAUGAAGACUCAACUCGAUUCAAUUGGGAAACCAAGAGUAAUUGAUCAUAAUGAACUUAUUGCUGCCCCCAUAGAAGACAACAUUGAUGGUGAUAUCUUGGUCGUGGAGAAUCCUCCAACAACACCAAAGCCUAAUGUUGACAUAGAUGUACAUGCCUCGACAAGUGUUGUUUUAACAAGCGUGCAAGGAAAUGAAUCUAUUGAAGAACAGCAAGGUGAAAAGAUGGCGCCUAAAGAGAGUAUUAUGUUAAAGGGUGCACAUGGUGUGAAAGUUGAAGUUGUUGAAUGUGCUUCUAAUCAACCUUCCACAGUCCUUGAAGAUCUACAUCUUGGUAAAGUCGAAGAGGUUAAAACCACAGUGCUUCCUAUGGUUCAUAAGGUUCAAGAAGAGAUUAUACUAAUUCCACACAUUGAUUUUGUUAUUCCAAAUGAGUUUGAUGUGGUGGAAUUCAAGGUUUUUGUUUUCCCUGUGCUCCCUAAGGUGAUUUCAGACUUGAAGCAAGUGUUAUUUAUCAGCAUCCUAAUCCUUCAAUGUUUUAAAACUCGAGGUCGAGUUUUCUCCAACCAAAGGAGAAUGAUGCGGGAGAUGCAAGAAAAUUAUUAUUUAGUAUUAUUUAUGUUUGUUAGUCAAUCGUAUUUUUAUGUUUUAGGUCCUAUUAAUUUAUUGGGUUAUUAGUAUUUUAAUUUAGAUGCAAGGGUAUUUUUGUAAUAGGGCAAUUAGGGUUUCCUAACCAAUUAGAACUAGGGUUUAGUAAUCCUUUAUAAGCAACCUAUUGUACUCCUUGAGGGGAUAGUUGAUAUUUUUGAUGAAUGAAAAAAUGGCCGUUUGGUCUUUCUUUGGUUGAUUAAAGUACAGAGUAACAGGAAAUUGUUGUGUCCAAAAUCUAGUUGGGUUGCUAAUUGUUCUUAGAGAUAAUUACAUAUUACCAACUGUGGUAGAGGGUGGUUUUACUUUGCCUAGCCUUGGUUUUAAAAGCAAGACAUUGCUUUCAGUUAAUAACUAAACUAUGGUUGACCAUAAUCUACCUCCUCACACUUCACCAUUUAAUAUGGGUAAAAAUGUCUUUCAAUGUGUUUUUUUUAAAAAGGUUUUUCUUUCUCUUCCUCAUCUAGUGAUCUCUUCUCUCUCCUCUAAUGAGUACUUUGGUGCUAGAAAUCAUCCUAGCAAAGUAUCCUACAAGGUCAAUUUUAAGGUUGGGCAUAAUGUGAAAUUUCAAAAAGGGGUGAUGGUUUUGUGGGUUUUGUAGGACUGGGAUUUUGUCUGCAAGAAUGAAGCUCUACACUGUGUUUGACAGGGUGGUGCAUUUGGUGCAGUUGACAUGCUGUGGAUAGGUGGAUACCUGUGACAACUAUGGAGUUUAUGAUUUAUGAUGUAGAUAGCCUUUUUUGAGGGGUGGAGGGCUAUAAAGCACAGGUGCGUUUCAGGACUCGGGUACAGGUGCGAGUGCUGGUGUAGGUGCGGGACUCGACGAUUCUUGAAAAAGGCCACAUGAAGCAGAAGAAUGGCAGCCGCUGCCCAUUUCAGCCUGUUUCGGUGGCCGUUUCGGCUGUACCGGUUCCCGUUUCCAUUGGAAUCGGCCCGUUUUGGCCUGAAUUGGUGCGAAUUUGACCGAGUUGGCGCGAAUAAAAAAAAAAAAAAGGGAGAGUUGGCGAGUCAGACGCCGGACGCCGCGUCAGUGCUUUCUAGGUGGAGGGUGCCUGUGGUUGGAUCAAUUUUUUAGCAAAGGGGAGCAUUGGUGAAAAUGUACUUUUAAGGGGAUCUGGACUCUUACUUGGGACAGACCAUAUGGAAGUUUUACACUUUUUUAGGCCCCAAUUUAGGUGGACAAUUUCUCAAAUAUCAUUAUGAAGAUGGGAAUGGUACUUAUCUUUGGCAGGAUAGUUGGCAUCUUGGUCCUCUGUUGCUUAAAUAUGUACCUCGGAUCAGCAAUGACAGUCAGUACUGUGAAUGCAAAGGCCUCAUCAGCUCACAAUGGAGGAAACUAAAGUUGGCACCCAGCAGGGUUUGUGGCUUUAGUUCAUAUUCAGGGCAAGUGUUUUUAGGCAAACCUUGAUCAAAAUGUAGCAGAAAAUGUCAAUUUAGAACUACAAAAUCAGGAGAAUUUGAAUGUGGGGGACAUCAUGGAAUGCUAUUAGACUUACUCCACCAAAAGUUUAGCAAUUCAAGCUUACCAGUUUCUUGGAUUGCUCUUAUAUAUCACACUUGGAUGGAGAAAACUCUCAGUGGCAUGAGAACAACUUAAAGAUGAAAAAUCUACGUUCAAGAUUAUUAUCGUAAAGGAUAGAUGGACUGGCAUCAAGCAGGCAUAUUGUGAAUUCAGCCAAAAACAAAGUAUUGGAGUAUUCAUUUAUCAGCAGAUUAGAAGUCUAUCAGAUAUUUAUUUUCUUUAAUCCACAGGGAAAUGAUCUUUGUAUGAAUGCUCUAUGGUGGGUUUCUCAUCUUACUUCCAUUCAGUAUUUUUACACAAGUGGCAUCAACCUUCAAGGGGAACAAAAAUAUGCUUAAGAAUAGUACACAUUGCGGACUCCUUGCUUGCUCCAGACUGGAAUAGAUUUGCAGGGAUUAGAGAUUUGUACCACGCUCGAUGGGUGAAAUGAAAGCACCAAACCUCCAGUGGCUCUCAGCUAAAAAUUCAACAAAUUUGUUGAAGAUACUCUUCCAAAACUAUGGAAACUUGCUUCACUUUUGGUAUUUGGAUUUUUGCAAUAAUCACAGCAGGACAUUUGCCAAUGUGUUCAAAUGAACUUGUACCGUACUAUUACUUAUUUUUCUCUAGUACUUUCCAUGAGUCUUCUAUUAUUCCAUAUUUGUAAGUAUCAUAAACCCCCCCCCCCCCCUUUUUUUUUUUUUGAUAAGUAUCAUAAACCUUUGAAGUAACUUGUAUGUAUCAAUUCAAUUUCUACCGAGGUCUUACCA